UGCAAGUCGAGCGGAUGAAGGGGAGCUUGCUCCUGGAUUCAGCGGCGGACGGGUGAGUAAUGCCUAGGAAUCUGCCUGGUAGUGGGGGAUAACGUCCGGAAACGGGCGCUAAUACCGCAUACGUCCUGAGGGAGAAAGUGGGGGAUCUUCGGACCUCACGCUAUCGGAUGAGCCUAAGUCGGAUUAGCUAGUUGGUGGGGUAAAGGCCCACCAAGGCGACGAUCCGUCACUGGUCUGAGAGGAUGAUCAGUGACACUGGAACUGAGACACGGGACAG
rnacentral:rRNA from 1 species